rnacentral:rRNA from 1 species
GACGUAGGGCGCGAGCGUUGUCCGGAUUUAUUGGGCGUAAAGAGCUCGUAGGCGGCUUGUCGCGUCGACUGUGAAAACCCGUGGCUCAACCAUGUGGUCUGCAGUCGAUACGGGCAGGCUAGAAUUCGGUAGGGGAGACUGGAAUUCCUGGUGUAGCGGUGAAAUGCGCAGAUAUCAGGAGGAACACCGGUGGCGAAGGCGGCAUCCUGGACCAACACUGACGCUGAGUGAGCGAAAGCCAGGGGAGCAAACGGG